CUUAACCCUGCGUUUUUGUCGAGAUUCCCCCGUACUUUACCAUUUAAUCCUUCUAUCACGUUUAUCCCACUUGAUUCCUCAGUUAUAUCACUGGGUGCUGUUAAUGCUCCGGUCAGCUAAUCAAAAACUUGUCUGCAUAUUUACUUAUGGGUGGGUCACAGGUGGAUUAGAUCAAUCUUUGGUUAAGCAAACUUUAACUACAAAAAACUGACUACAAAGUUGCAGAUAUCUUCAUUCUCACAAUACCAAACUAAGCUUUUUGCAUAAUAUGCGUUUAUACAAACAUUUAAGCAACACAUUCAUAAUCAUGAUGAUUAUUUUUGCCAGUGCAAUGCGUGCGCUAGUUUUAUUCAUCCAUUUACGUUGAUGAUCAUGUUAAUGGAUGGCCGCAAACUUCACAGUUCAUCGGGCACAGUUAACAACCUUUCUGAUUAUUGCAGCACAUUAACAAAUAGACUCAGAAUCGCUUAACUAUCAUAACCAUAUUGUGUUUCGUUUAUAGCUUUAAUUUCAGAUCAUUUCAACCAAUUAUUGCAGUGAAAAAAAAUGAUGCAUCAACACAUCAAAGCACUCUCUUGCUGACAUCAGGGCUUUCCUGUUGCAGUCGGGUGUGCACGUCUCCAACACCACUAUAAGACGACACUAUAGACGUCAAAGACCUGUAGGCCUUCCUAGAAAAACAACUGCAAGGAAAAUGAACAGUGCUGCACUUAAAACGAUUGACGAAAAACUGCACAAGGACAAUGAGCGAUCUGCUAAAAAGAUUCAGAGCGAGCUUCUGUUUAGAAUACAGUUAAAAGCAUCAGUCUGCAAUAUUAGAAAACCAGUAAAACAACUCAGGUGGACCUAUGGAAAAGCCAGGAAUUAUCGACAGCUGUUUUUACAAAGACACUAUAGUAAAAUUUAAUCAGGUUCCAUAUGUAAAACAACACUUUAAAGAACCACAUCGCUUCUUCCAAGGUAGAUGCAGUAUGUAGGCCUACUGUACCAACUGUGUGUGUGUGUGUGUGUGUGUGUGUGUACAUGUUCACUGCUGUGUGUGUGUGUGUGCACACGUUCACUGCUGUGUGAAUGUGUUGAAUUUUUUUAUCAAUCUUGAUGAUUAUAGAAUAAAUAGUAAAGUUAACACAUUGCUUAA